rnacentral:tRNA from 1 species
UUCUAAUAUGGCAGAUUAGUGCAAUGGAUUUAAGCACCAGAUAUAAAGUUUACGCUUUUUUUAGAAAA